UAUUUCCAUAAAGAAGGUAAUUUCUUAUGUUACAUUAGGGUUUUAUUUAUUAGGGUUUUACUUGUUAGGGUUUAGCUUAGAUUCAUUUCGUAAUCCAUAAUUCUUUUCUCUCAAAAAGAAACAAUAAAGAUUGACUUAACAUCAAAUGUUACUAGUGAUUUUCCGUAAAAAGUGAUCCAAAAAAUAUAUAUUUUUGUAGUGU
rnacentral:lncRNA from 1 species